rnacentral:rRNA from 1 species
UACGAAGGGUGCAAGCGUUAUUCGGAAUCAUUGGGCGUAAAGCGCGCGCAGGCGGAUCAGCAAGUCAGAUGUGAAAUCUCAGAGCUCAACUCUGAAACUGCGUCUGAAACUGCUAGUCUAGAAUGUCGGAGGGGGCAGGGGAAUUUCACGUGUAGGGGUAAAAUCCGUAGAGAUGUGAAGGAACACCGGAGGCGAAGGCGCCUGCCUGGACGACUAUUGACGCUGAGGCGCGAAAGCGUGGGGAGCAAACAGG